GUGUUGUCUGAAAGGAGAGAAAGUUAGCACUCCCCUUGACCAGGAUAAAUGAGGCCCUCGGGUCUGACAAACAUGCAUAGGGUGAAUUUUUUUU
ensembl:snRNA